CAAAUUCUGUAUCUGUGUUGAGUGGGUCUUCGUGUAUAUACGUUAAGUUCUUAAGAAGAGGGGAAAAGGACGGAGCAUCCGGCAUCAAGGCAAUCGCCUCUUGUACUGGAAGGUAACAUACCGGGCAUGCUGAAAACAAAAAAAAAAAACCAAAAAGUUGCUUAUAAAACGUGUCUAGGAUCGUAAAAUCUAAGAAAAGAAAAAAAGAACUCAAGACUUACGGCGAGGUCCGCUUCUUUUUCUGUCAGCAGGUGGGGGAGGUAAGGUGAAAGUGUGACAAGGAUGUCGUUGAGGAAGCGUAUAGCCAAGAAAAUGUAUAGGAGGGGAGAGUAUGACAUUUGUGCCUAGAAUGUUGACG
rnacentral:lncRNA from 1 species